GCUUUUGUGCGGCGCAUCCAGGAGUCUGAGGUGAAGGAGGCUUUAAAAAGGAUGAAAGGAGGCAAGGCGAUGGGCUCUGAUUGUAUCCCCAUUGAGGUGUGGAAAGGUCUCGGGGACAUAGCGAUAGUAUGGCUAACCAAGCUUUUCAACCUCAUUUUUCGGGCAAACAAGAUGCCAGAAGAAUGGAGACGGAGUAUAUUAGUACCAAUCUUCAAGAACAAGGGGGAUGUUCAGAGUUGUACUAAUUACCGUGGAAUUAAGCUGAUGAGCCAUACAAUGAAGCUAUGGGAGAGAGUCAUUGAGCACCGCUUAAGAAGAAUUACAAGCGUGACCAAAAAUCAGUUUGGUUUCAUGCCUGGGAGGUCGACCAUGGAAGCCAUUUUCUUGGUACGACAACUUAUGGAGAGAUAUAGGGAGCAUAAGAAGGACUUGCAUAUGGUGUUCAUUGACUUGGAGAAGGCCUAUGAUAAGAUACCGCGGAAUGUCAUGUGGUGGGCCUUGGAGAAACACAAAGUCCCAGCAAAGUACAUUACCCUCAUCAAGGACAUGUACAAUAAUGUUGUGACAAGUGUUCGAACAAGUGAUGUCGACAUCGAUGACUUCCCGAUUAAGAUAGGACUGCAUCAGGGGUUAGCUUUGAGCCCUUAUCUUUUUGCAUUGGUGAUGGAUGAGGUCACAAGGGGUAUACAAGGAGAUAUCCCAUGGUGUAUGCUCUUUGCGGAUGAUGUGGUGCUAGUUGACGAUAGUCGGACGGGGGUAAAUAGGAAGUUAGAGUUAUGGAGACAAACCUUGGAAUCGAAAGGGUUUAGGCUUAGUAGAACUAAAACCGAGUACAUGAUGUGCGGUUUCAGUACUACUAGCUGUGAGGAGGAGGAGGUUAGCCUUGAUGGCCAGGUGGUACCUCGGAAGGACACCUUUCGGUAUUUGGGGUCAAUGUUGCAGGAGGAUGGGGGUAUUGAUGAAGAUGUGAACCAUCGAAUCAAAGCCGGAUGGAUGAAGUGGCGCCAAGCUUCUGGCAUUCUCUGUGACAAGAGAGUGCCACAAAAGCUAAAAGGCAAGUUCUACAGGACGGCGGUUCGACCCGCAAUGUUGUAUGGCGCGGAGUGUUGGCCGACUAAAAGGCGACAUGUUCAACAGUUAGGUGUGGCGGAGAUGCGUAUGUUGAGAUGGAUGUGUGGCCACACGAGGAAGGAUCGAGUCCGGAAUGAUGAUAUACGAGAUAGAGUUAGGGUAGCACCAAUUGAGGAGAAGCUUGUCCAACAUCGUUUGAGAUGGUUUGGGCAUAUUCAGCGCAGGCCUCCAGAAGCUCCAGUGCAUAGCGGACGGCUAAAGCAU
rnacentral:rRNA from 1 species